rnacentral:rRNA from 1 species
GAUGAACGCUAGCGGGAGGCCUAACACAUGCAAGCCGAGCGGUAUUGUUUCUUCGGAAAUGAGAGAGCGGCGUACGGGUGCGUAACACGUGUGCAACCUGCCUUUAUCUGGGGGAUAGCCUUUCGAAAGGAAGAUUAAUACUCCAUAAUAUAUUGAACGGCAUCGUUUAAUAUUGAAAGCUUCGGCGGAUAGAGAUGGGCACGCGCAAGAUUAGCUAGUUGGUGAGGUAACGGCUCACCAAGGCGAUGAUCUUUAGGGGGCCUGAGAGGGUGAUCCCCCACACUGGUACUGAGACACGGACCAGACUCCCACGGGAGGCAGCAGUGAGGAAUAUUGGUCAAUGGGUGCAAGCCUGAACCAGCCAUCCCGCGUGAAGGACGACUGCCCUAUGGGUUGUAAACUUCUUUUGUAUAGGGAUAAACCUACCCUCGUGAGGGUAGCUGAAGGUACUAUACGAAUAAGCACCGGCUAACUCCGUGCCAGCCGCCGCCGCAA